rnacentral:rRNA from 1 species
CCAAUCAAGAAUCUUUAGUCUACAGCCACCCUAUCUCGUCUGAUCUUGGAAGCUAAGCAGGGUCUGGACUGCUUAGUACUUGGAUGGA